GAUGAAGAACGUAGCGAAAUGCGAUAAGUAAUGCGAAUUGCAGAAUUCAGUGAAUCAUCGAAUCUUUGAACGCACAUUGCGCCCGCUAGUAUUCUGGCGGGCAUGCCUGUCUGAGCGUCAUUUCAACCCUCGCCCCCGGCUUUUGCUGGGAGCGGUGUUGGGGAUCGGCCGCCCGUCACUGGGAGGCCGGCCCCGAAAUAGAGUGGCGACCACGCCGUGUGCUCCUCUGCGUAGUAGUAAAUCACCUCGCAGGCGGACAGCGGUGCGGCCUGCCGUAAAACCCCCAACUCUCUCUGGUUGACCUCAGAUCAGGUAGGAAUACCCGCUGAACUUAAGCAUAUCAAUAAGCGGAGGA
rnacentral:misc_RNA from 1 species